AUUAAACGCUGGCGGCAUGCCUUACACAUGCAAGUCGAACGGUAACAGGGUGCUUGCACCGCUGACGAGUGGCGAACGGGUGAGUAAUGCGUCGGAACGUGCCGAGUAGUGGGGGAUAACGCAGCGAAAGUUGUGCUAAUACCGCAUACGUACUGAGGUAGAAAGUGGGGGACCUUCGGGCCUCACGCUAUUCGAGCGGCCGACGUCUGAUUAGCUAGUAGGUGAGGUAAGAGCUCACCUAGGCGACGAUCAGUAGCGGGUCUGAGAGGAUGAUCCGCCACACUGGGACUGAGACACGGCCCAGACUCCUACGGGAGGCAGCAGUGGGGAAUUUUGGACAAUGGGCGCAAGCCUGAUCCAGCCAUGCCGCGUGUCUGAAGAAGGCCUUCGGGUUGUAAAGGACUUUUGUCAGGGAGGAAAUCCUAGUGGCUAAUAACUGCUGGGGAUGACAGUACCUGAAGAAUAAGCACCGGCUAACUACGUGCCAGCAGCCGCCGUAACAC
rnacentral:rRNA from 1 species